GAUGAACGCUGGCGGUAUGCUUAGCACAUGCAAGUCGAACGGUACCUUCGGGUAUAGUGGCGGACGGGUGAGUAACGCGUGAGAAUCUAUCUUCAGGUCGGGGACAACAGUUAGAAAUGACUGCUAAUACCGGAUGUGCCGAAAGGUAAAAGAUUUAUUGCCUGAAAAAGAGCUCGCGUCAGAUUAGCUAGUAGGUGGUGUAAGAGACUACCUAGGCUUCGAUCUGUAGCUGGUCUGAGAGGACGAUCAGCCACACUGGAACUGAGACACGGUCCAGACUCCUACGGGAGGCAGCAGUGGGGAAUUUUCCGCAAUGGGCGAAAGCCUGACGGAGCAAUACCGCGUGAGGGACGAAGGCUCUUGGGUCGUAAACCUCUUUUCUCAAGGAAGAUUCAGACGGUACUUGAGGAAUAAGCAUCGGCUAACUCUGUG
rnacentral:rRNA from 1 species